ensembl:lncRNA
UUGGGUGCCGAGGAGGGGAAGAUGCUGUCUGGGCACUGUGGAGUGGAGGAGCAAGGGCUGUUGUUCCCUUCCUGACUCUGUAACACAGACCAGGUACUCAGCAGAAGCAAAUGAUCUCAAAAGCACAUUUGAAGAGCAGCUGACCUUAUGGAAAAGCACCCGAUCCGUGGGGAGCCAUUUCCCCUCAAAGGACUCCACCACCGCCCUUGAGAACUUGUGCUCAUGUUUCACGGGUCCUAAAUAUAUAUAAAACUAGAUAAAAGUUAGCUUUUUCCAAUCUGGGCAUCCUAGCUUUCCUCUUCAUGCCUGAAGUUGUUCCACCCCAGUGAGGACUGGAGAGCUGGUGCCUCCUCAUCCUCCACAUCCCACAGAGAGGACCAGGGCAGACCCAUACGACAUAUAUGCUGGGGAUGGUAAGCAUGGCUUCUGUGGGCAGUGGGGAAGCCCUUUGUAGACUGUUGUCCUCCAGGUCACUCUCAGGGUCCUCCACCUGCACCCCCCAAGCCCUGGGGACCUGCUCAGGGGUGAUGUGGGAGCCCUGGGCUAAGCCCAAUCCUCCCAGCCUCACCAGCAAUCACAACCAGGUGUAAGCAGUCCCUACUUGCCCUGGGAGCUCUGCCAUCCAUCCAGCUUUAAUCCACUUAUGGCUGUGCUAAUUAUGCAUCACUUUCAUUCAACCAAAGUGUCCCCAUGAACCAAAUUAAGUAUCACGCAGGCUCCUCUGAUGUCAAUUCUGUCAUCUUUAGCAACAACACAUCAGGACAGGAGAUGUCAUGGGCUAACCAGACAGUCUCCAUUGCAGUGGAGUUUUAACCCUGCCCCAGCUGAUGCUUGUGGAAGUGCCCGGUGGCUUCAGUGGGCCACUGUGCCCCUGAAAUUGUCCCUGCAUGUUGCUGCUAGUCUGUGGGGAGGGGCACUGUGCAUCACACCUCUGUCCUUCCCAUUACCCUGCCAUAAGAAAAGUGGAAUUUCAGACAGGGAGGUCCUUAAAUAACACACUGACCUUCACUUCUUGGAGAUGCCCUUUGCCCCUGUAGCCCCGGUCUGUCCCUUCCCUAAAUACCCUAAGAUGGGGACAGGUGGGAUAUGGGGAGCUCAUCCCUUCCCUGCAUGUGGCCUGGCCCCUCCAGGGCUGUUGGGUUUGCUGUGAUGCGGAGAAGACCAUCCCAAGUGUAGGUGACAGUCACAUGGAGUCACGGCUGAGCUACUGCAUCCAAACCCUUGGGGUGGGCUGUUCUCCCCACACCACCUCUUCCUAGCCUCCCUGGCUGCCUGGAAAGCUGGCUCCUAUGUGAGCCCUGCCUCUUUGGGAAGCCACCAAGGAGCCAGGCAGGAAGAUGGGCUGCCUUUGGCAUGGGGCUAAAAACUGAGCCCACAGGUAUCCCUGAGGAGCAGAAUAAAAUCCUAGCCGUACUUUUCUUGCUGUCCAUUUGUGCUCCUGGCUAUCUCUAUGCUGCCCAUCACCAGUAGGCACUAGGUGUUAGGUUUUAACCACCACCACCACUAUCCUGGAGUAAUAGGAAGAAUUGAAAUAUGGUUCAAAAAGCAGCCUAAAUCAGUGCUGAGCUCAAACCCAGCUCAUCCCUGCAGUUUCCUGACAUUUACAUUUUCCUGCUUCCCUGCUCCCCUCACAAAGACUGGGAUCUUGGUGGGAAAGGCUGCUGUGCCACAUCCAUGGCCAGGCAGCCCAAAUGCGCCCCACCACCCGGCCCCAGGCAGGGACCGCUCACUCCCAGGCACUCAAGAGCUUUGCCAAAUUCACAGUUUAUGAGUUUGCCCCAUACCAUGGCUGUGCAAAGAACACGAAAAACAACCCUUCCCUUGGCUUAUUGAAGAGGGGCGGCAAAAAAUCCGCUGGCGCUCUCUGGAGCCAUCCAUCAUGACUCCAAAUACACAAGGCAAUUGCUGUAAAACUAGAGUUUGGCUCGGUAAAGGAGUUAAAAAGAAAAACAUGCCAUGCCUGUUGCAAACAACCACAGCACACAAAAAAAAAGCGCCUUACAAGGCUGGGGCAGCCUCAUAGAUGGAUUGCUUUUUAAUCCCCAAAGCUACAGUGAUAAAUCUUUUUAUUGGAGGCUCCAGAGAUACUGUGUCACUCAGGGCAUUCAGCAGCGCAGGGUGAAAACAGCUCCAUAAGCUGCUGGGAGAGGGGAAGUCUUCUGGGUGCAGGACCAGGGGUGAUGGAAGAGGGAUGGGUGCUCGCCAUGGGGGUGCUGAGCAGGGAUGGGGGACAGGAGGGUUCCCCUGGGCCCCAGGAGCGAGUGGUUAGGCAGGAACUGGCUGUUGGACAGACACUGCUGUAAAUCUGGGAGGACAGAUGGACAACUUUUGGGGAACGGCUCUUCGGAAACACAGUGUGUGGAGAGGAGAUGGUGGCAUUGGGCCAAACCCGGCCACGUGCUCCAUGUUGCAGGGGCAGAGAGAUGCUUCGUCCAGCUCCAACUGAAGGCCCGGAGCAAUGGCACCCCCCGGCUCCCAGCUCCACAACGUCCCUCUGCUCUGUCCUCUCUAGACUCUCUUAAGCCCUGAAAGGAUCAUUUAGUUAGUGAGAAUGCCCAGGCAGUGUUUGGGAUCCUCCUUCCCCCACAGCCACCCUGAAGUGCUGGUCAAUCCCCCAGCCAGUUACAUCGGUUGGAGCAGUAGGAACAACUCACCCCAUCCCUGGCUUCUGCUGUGUCCCCCCUGCAGGGCUUUUUGCUUCUAUACCACCUCCCAGGCAGGAGUAAUCCCCCUAAUUGAUACCAGGAAGGUGGCAGGGGACCAGGCCGACCACAAGGGUGCAGAGCAGUGAGGAGCUUCGUCCUGGAAGCAAACAGGCUCUAUAAUUUCCUUCCUGGGGGCUGUAACGAGCCUGAGGCAGGCAGGAGCCAGCAGCCACUGCCUUCCUUGUGACGCAGAGAUGUAAAACCCUCUCAGUGAACCCACUGUCCCCCGGGAGAUCAGUUCCUUUUUCACUAGGUUUCAUGCCCUGGCUGCAGCUGCUACUAAAAUUAAUUGUGG